GCCCUCUCAAAGCAUGUUUAUCCACUCGGCGGCCAUUUUUCGAACGCUCUCGUGCAGGCUGGGCAGCAAAUGUUCUAUGUAAACAAGCGGCAUACAAGAGCAGCUCCUAUCAACUUGAAUGGGGAAAGACUGACAUCUCCGAAACGUCUUCACCAUGGUUUGCUGUGCUGCAUGGGGAUGCUCCAAUCGCUCAGAGAAAUGUGUGCAAAUGUAUGGCUUCCCCACUGACAUGGAGAGGAGAAAAAAAUGGUUGGCUCAAGUCAGCAGGAGCUAAAUAUAAAUAAAAAUUACAACAACAAAAAAAUAUGUGAGUACAAGCUUGCCCAGAGUUUUCUUAAGCCGUUUGGACUGUGAUGCAGCACAUGUUUCCUUGGCAAUGAAGUGGAGCCUGAUGUUUGUGCAGCUUUCUGCAAUGCACCGAGUAUGAAGAUGUGAUUGUUGUAUGGUUCUAGGUUGAACAUGUUUGCCUCAAGUUCCUUGAAUGCAGAACCACCAUGGAGAUCCAGAACCUUUGUGGGGACAGAGAUGGGCCUUGUGAGUGUGUGCUGUUGAAGAAAUCUCUCAGCUGUCUUGCAGACUUUCAGCACGCUGUCUGACGGUCUUAUAAAUCCACCCCAGGACUUCAUGUCGAUCAGUGUGUUCAUCUUGGGAAGAGCUCUCGACACUGAGUGCUGAUAAACAGGUAGUGCACUGAAUCAUCUUCAUAGUUGUUUUAACUGCAAAGCCUGCUAUGUGCCCUACCACAGCCUCUUUGAACAUGGACAAGCUGGGAAGAAAUACAGUGAUGUUUUUCUCUGUGUCUUCUGAACGUCACUGCCUGAAAUGCAUAUCAGAAGAUGUUGCCUCCAGUGUCACUGUGCUAUCCGGUGGAGAACUGUUGCCACUAGUUCUGAUGGCAUGUCUUGCUACCAUUCUUUUGAAAGCUGAAUAAUGUGGGAUUGUUGUUAAAUCCAUUAGCAGAUUUGUUCCGACAUAUCUGCAAAUUUUUAUUGUAUUGUUCAGUUUAAGUCAAUUUUUGUGUGUACUUGGAAGCUUUUGUUAUUGAACAAAUAAAUAUGUAUGAU